AACGAACGCUGGCGGCAUGCCUAACACAUGCAAGUCGAACGAGACCUUCGGGUCUAGUUGCGCUCGGGUGCGUCACGCGUGGGAACCUGCCCUUAGGUUCGGAAUACCUCCCCGAAAGGGGUGCUAAUACCGGAUAAUGUCUUCGGACCAAAGAUUUAUCGCCUUUGGAUGGGCCCGCGUUGGUUUAGCUAGUCGGUAGGGUAAAAGCCUACCAAGGCGACGACACAUAGCUGGUCUGAGAGGAUGAUCAGCCACACUGGGACUGAGACACGGCCGAGACUCCUACGGGAGGCAGCAGUGGGGAAUAUUGGACAAUGGGCGAAAGCCUGAUCCAGCAAGGCCGCGUGAGUGAUGAAGGCCUUAGGGUUGUAAAGCUCUUUUACCCGGGAUGAUAAUGACAGUACCGGGAGAAUAAGCUCCGGCUAACUCCGUG
rnacentral:rRNA from 1 species